AUUGAACGCUGGCGGCAGGCCUAACACAUGCAAGUCGAGCGGAUGAAGGGAGCUUGCUCCUGGAUUCAGCGGCGGACGGGUGAGUAAUGCCUAGGAAUCUGCCUGGUAGUGGGGGAUAACGUCCGGAAACGGGCGCUAAUACCGCAUACGUCCUGAGGGAGAAAGUGGGGGAUCUUCGGACCUCACGCUAUCAGAUGAGCCUAGGUCGGAUUAGCUAGUUGGUGGGGUAAAGGCCUACCAAGGCGACGAUCCGUAACUGGUCUGAGAGGAUGAUCAGUCACACUGGAGCUGAGACGAGGUCCAGACUCCUACGGGAGGCAGCAGUGGGGAAGAUUAGACGAUGGGGGAAAGCCUGAUGCAGCCAUGCCGCGUGUUGGAAGAAGGUCUUCGGAUUGUAAAGCACUUUAAGUUGGGAGGAAGGGCAGUAAGUUAAUACCUUGCUGUUUUGACGUUACCAACAGAAUAAGCACCGGCUAACUUCGUG
rnacentral:rRNA from 1 species